rnacentral:rRNA from 1 species
AGGACGAACGCUGGCGGCGUGCUUAACACAUGCAAGUCGAGCGGUAAGGCCUUUCGGGGUACACGAGCGGCGAACGGGUGAGUAACACGUGGGUGAUCUGCCCUGCACUCUGGGAUAAGCCUGGGAAACUGGGUCUAAUACCGGAUAUGACCUGCUCUCGCAGUGGGGGGUGGGUGGAAAGAUUUAUCGGUGCAGGAUGGGCCCGCGGCCUAUCAGCUUGUUGGUGGGUAAUGGCCUACCAAGGCGACG